rnacentral:rRNA from 1 species
UACGUAGGGGCCUAGCGUUGUCCGGAAUUACUGGGCGUAAAGCGCACGUAGGCGGUCAGUCAAGUCGGGUGUGAAAGCCCUGGGCUCAACCUGGGAAUUGCAUUCGAAACUAUCUGACUCGAGUAUGGGAGAGGGAAGCGGAAUUUCCGGUGUAGCGGUGGAAAUGCGUAGAUAUCGGAAGGAACACCAGUGGCGAAGGCGGCUUCCUGGACCAAUACUGACGCUGAGGUGCGAAAGCGGUGGGGAGCAAACAGGG